rnacentral:rRNA from 1 species
GGGUUGUGAGGUUAAGCGACUAAGCGUACACGGUGGAUGCCCUGGCAGUCAGAGGCGAUGAAGGGCGUGCUAAUCUGCGAUAAGCGCCGGUAAGGUGAUAUGAACCGUUAUAACCGGCGAUACCCGAAUGGGGAAACCCAGUGUGACUCGUCACACUAUCAUUAACUGAAUCCAUAGGUUAAUGAGGCGAACCGGGGGAACUGAAACAUCUAAGUACCCCGAGGAAAAGAAAUCAACCGAGAUUCCCCCAGUAGCGGCGAGCGAACGGGGAGGAGCCCAGAGCCUGAAUCAGCAUGUGUGUUAGUGGAAGCGUCUGGAAAGGCGCGCGAUACAGGGUGACAGCCCCGUACACAAAAGCGCAUGUGCUGUGAGCUCGAUGAGUAGGGCGGGACACGUGGUAUCCUGUCUGAAUAUGGGGGGACCAUCCUCCAAGGCUAAAUACUCCUGACUGACCGAUAGUGAACCAGUACCGUGAGGGAAAGGCGAAAAGAACCCCGGCGAGGGGAGUGAAAAAGAACCUGAAACCGUGUACGUACAAGCAGUGGGAGCACAGGUUUACCUGUGUGACUGCGUACCUUUUGUAUAAUGGGUCAGCGACUUAUAUUCUGUAGCAAGGUUAACCGAAUAGGGGAGCCGGAGGGAAACCGAGUCUUAAUUGGGCGUUAAGUUGCAGGGUAUAGACCCGAAACCCGGUGAUCUAGCCAUGGGCAGGUUGAAGGUUGGGUAACACUAACUGGAGGACCGAACCGACUAAUGUUGAAAAAUUAGCGGAUGACCUGUGGCUGGGGGUGAAAGGCCAAUCAAACCGGGAGAUAGCUGGUUCUCCCCGAAAGCUAUUUAGGUAGCGCCUCGUGAAUUCAUCUCCGGGGGUAGAGCACUGUUUCGGCUAGGGGGCCAUCCCGGCUUACCAACCCGAUGCAAACUGCGAAUACCGGAGAAUGUUAUCACGGGAGACACACGGCGGGUGCUAACGUCCGUCGUGAAGAGGGAAACAACCCAGACCGCCAGCUAAGGUCCCAAAGUCAUGGUUAAGUGGGAAACGAUGUGGGAAGGCCCAGACAGCCAGGAUGUUGGCUUAGAAGCAGCCAUCAUUUAAAGAAAGCGUAAUAGCUCACUGGUCGAGUCGGCCUGCGCGGAAGAUGUAACGGGGCUAAACCAUGCACCGAAGCUGCGGCAGCGAACGUAUCACCCAAGACAACUUUACGGAGUUGACGAUUGACGGAGCGAAGCGACGUCAAAGCGUUCAUUAAAGUCGAGUUGGCUUAGGGAUACGUUCGUUGGGUAGGGGAGCGUUCUGUAAGCCUGUGAAGGUGGCCUGUGAGGGUUGCUGGAGGUAUCAGAAGUGCGAAUGCUGACAUAAGUAACGAUAAAGCGGGUGAAAAGCCCGCUCGCCGGAAGACCAAGGGUUCCUGUCCAACGUUAAUCGGGGCAGGGUGAGUCGACCCCUAAGGCGAGGCCGAAAGGCGUAGUCGAUGGGAAACAGGUUAAUAUUCCUGUACUUGGUGUUACUGCGAAGGGGGGACGGAGAAGGCUAUGUUGGCCGGGCGACGGUUGUCCCGGUUUAAGCGUGUAGGUGUGUGUUCCAGGUAAAUCCGGUUCACUUUAACACUGAGGCGUGAUGACGAGGCACUACGGUGCUGAAGCAACAAAUGCCCUGCUUCCAGGAAAAGCCUCUAAGCAUCAGGUAACAUCAAAUCGUACCCCAAACCGACACAGGUGGUCAGGUAGAGAAUACCAAGGCGCUUGAGAGAACUCGGGUGAAGGAACUAGGCAAAAUGGUGCCGUAACUUCGGGAGAAGGCACGCUGACACGUAGGUGAAGUGAUUUACUCACGGAGCUGAAGUCAGUCGAAGAUACCAGCUGGCUGCAACUGUUUAUUAAAAACACAGCACUGUGCAAACACGAAAGUGGACGUAUACGGUGUGACGCCUGCCCGGUGCCGGAAGGUUAAUUGAUGGGGUCAGCGCAAGCGAAGCUCCUGAUCGAAGCCCCGGUAAACGGCGGCCGUAACUAUAACGGUCCUAAGGUAGCGAAAUUCCUUGUCGGGUAAGUUCCGACCUGCACGAAUGGCGUAAUGAUGGCCAGGCUGUCUCCACCCGAGACUCAGUGAAAUUGAACUCGCUGUGAAGAUGCAGUGUACCCGCGGCAAGACGGAAAGACCCCGUGAACCUUUACUAUAGCUUGACACUGAACAUUGAGCCUUGAUGUGUAGGAUAGGUGGGAGGCUUUGAAGCGUGGACGCCAGUCUGCGUGGAGCCGACCUUGAAAUACCACCCUUUAAUGUUUGAUGUUCUAACGUGGACCCGUUAUCCGGGUUGCGGACAGUGUCUGGUGGGUAGUUUGACUGGGGCGGUCUCCUCCUAAAGAGUAACGGAGGAGCACGAAGGUUGGCUAAUCCUGGUCGGACAUCAGGAGGUUAGUGCAAUGGCAUAAGCCAGCUUGACUGCGAGCGUGACGGCGCGAGCAGGUGCGAAAGCAGGUCAUAGUGAUCCGGUGGUUCUGAAUGGAAGGGCCAUCGCUCAACGGAUAAAAGGUACUCCGGGGAUAACAGGCUGAUACCGCCCAAGAGUUCAUAUCGACGGCGGUGUUUGGCACCUCGAUGUCGGCUCAUCACAUCCUGGGGCUGAAGUAGGUCCCAAGGGUAUGGCUGUUCGCCAUUUAAAGUGGUACGCGAGCUGGGUUUAGAACGUCGUGAGACAGUUCGGUCCCUAUCUGCCGUGGGCGCUGGAGAACUGAGGGGGGCUGCUCCUAGUACGAGAGGACCGGAGUGGACGCAUCACUGGUGUUCGGGUUGUCAUGCCAAUGGCACUGCCCGGUAGCUAAAUGCGGAAGAGAUAAGUGCUGAAAGCAUCUAAGCACGAAACUUGCCCCGAGAUGAGUUCUCCCUGAGACUUUAGGUCUCCUGAAGGAACGUUGAAGACGACGACGUUGAUAGGCCGGGUGUGUAAGCGCAGCGAUGCGUUGAGCUAACCGGUACUAAUGAACCGUGAGGCUUAACCUUACAACGCCGAAG